rnacentral:rRNA from 1 species
GACGAACGCUGGCGGCGUGCUUAACACAUGCAAGCUGAACGGGUCAUUAAGGAGUAGCAAUAUGAAUUAAUGGUCAGUAGCGGACGGGUGAGUAAAAGACGAGAAGCUGUCUAUCAGAGGGGGACAACGUUUAGAAAUGAACGCUAAUACCGCAUACGCCAACGGGUGAAAGCAGAGAUGCGCUGAGAGAGGUGCUCGUAACCUAUCAGGUAGUUGGUGGGAUAAAAGCCUACCAAGCCGAUGACGGGUAGCCGGCCUGAGAGGGUGAACGGCCACACUGGAACUGAGACACGGUCCAGACUCCUACGGGAGGCAGCAGUGGGGAAUAUUGGGCAAUGGAUGCAAGUCUGACCCAGCGACGCCGCGUGAAUGAAGAAGGUCUUCGGAUUGUAAAGUUCUUUUAUACGGGAAGAGAAGAAGACGGUACCGU